CUGGGCGGAUUAGUGGCGAACGGGUGAGUAAUACGUGAGUAACCUGCCCUUGACUCUGGGAUAAGCCUGGGAAACUGGGUCUAAUACUGGAUACUACCGUCCACCGCAUGGUGGGUGGUGGAAAGGGUUUUACUGGUUUUGGAUGGGCUCACGGCCUAUCAGCUUGUUGGUGGGGUAAUGGCUCACCAAGGCGACGACGGGUAGCCGGCCUGAGAGGGUGACCGGCCACACUGGGACUGAGACACGGCCCAGACUCCUACGGGAGGCAGCAGUGGGGAAUAUUGCACAAUGGGCGGAAGCCUGAUGCAGCGACGCCGCGUGAGGGAUGACGGCCUUCGGGUUGUAAACCUCUUUCAGUAGGGAAGAAGCGAGAGUGACGGUACCUGCAGAAGAAGCGCCGGCUAACUACGUGCCAGCAGCCGCGGUAAUACGUAGGGCGCAAGCGUUGUCCGGAAUUAUUGGGCGUAAAGAGCUCGUAGGCGGUUUGUCGCGUCUGCUGUGAAAGCCCGGGGCUCAACCCCGGGUCUGCAGUGGGUACGGGCAGACUAGAGUGCAGUAGGGGAGACUGGAAUUCCUGGUGUAGCGGUGAAAUGCGCAGAUAUCAGGAGGAACACCGAUGGCGAAGGCAGGUCUCUGGGCUGUUACUGACGCUGAGGAGCGAAAGCAUGGGGAGCGAACAGGAUUAGAUACCCUGGUAGUCCAUGCCGUAAACGUUGGGCACUAGGUGUGGGGGACAUUCCACGUUUUCCGCGCCGUAGCUAACGCAUUAAGUGCCCCGCCUGGGGAGUACGGCCGCAAGGCUAAAACUCAAAGGAAUUGACGGGGGCCCGCACAAGCGGCGGAGCAUGCGGAUUAAUUCGAUGCAACGCGAAGAACCUUACCAAGGCUUGACAUUCACCGGACCGCCCCAGAGAUGGGGUUUCCCUUCGGGGCUGGUGGACAGGUGGUGCAUGGUUGUCGUCAGCUCGUGUCGUGAGAUGUUGGGUUAAGUCCCGCAACGAGCGCAACCCUCGUUCUAUGUUGCCAGCACGUGAUGGUGGGGACUCAUAGGAGACUGCCGGGGUCAACUCGGAGGAAGGUGGGGAUGACGUCAAAUCAUCAUGCCCCUUAUGUCUUGGGCUUCACGCAUGCUACAAUGGCCGGUACAAAGGGUUGCGAUACUGUGAGGUGGAGCUAAUCCCAAAAAGCCGGUCUCAGUUCGGAUUGAGGUCUGCAACUCGACCUCAUGAAGUCGGAGUCGCUAGUAAUCGCAGAUCAGCAACGCUGCGGUGAAUACGUUCCCGGGCCUUGUACACACCGCCCGUCAAGUCACGAAAGUUGGUAACAC
rnacentral:rRNA from 1 species